rnacentral:tRNA from 1 species
GCAGCAGUGGCGGAAUUGGUAGACGCGCUACUUUGAGGGGGGAGUAAGAGUAAUCUUGUGUGAGUUCGAGUCUCAUUUGCUGCA